GUGCCAGCAGCCGCGGUAAUACGGAGGGUGCAAGCGUUGUUCGGAUUUAUUGGGCGUAAAGCGCGUGUAGGCGGUCUUUUAAGUCUGAUGUGAAAGCCCCGGGCUCAACCCGGGAAGUGCAUUGGAUACUGGGAGACUUGAAUACGGGAGAGGGUAGUGGAAUUCCUAGUGUAGGAGUGAAAUCCGUAGAUAUUAGGAGGAACACCGGUGGCGAAGGCGGCUACCUGGACCGAUAUUGACGCUGAGACGCGAAAGCGUGGGGAGCAAACAGG
rnacentral:rRNA from 1 species